UGGCCCAUCUUUAAGAAACGCCUCUCCUCCAAGCAGAAUACCGGCACAGGAGCGUACAGUGUGUGGACAGAUGUUUCAUGAUCGCUGGCUCACGUCCAGCUCUCCUUUGAAGGGACAAACUCGAGGUCCGAGUGCGUCCCGCUAAGUUGCCCUGGCUGUGGUUGGCAGGUACCCUGAGGUCCUGUCCAGGUAGGGGUGAACUGUGCCCAGGGCAGGCGGUGGCUUCCUCUGCACGGGAUGCGGACCGAGACUCCUCGAGCAUCAGAGACCUCAUCGCACUGGCAGGGCUGCGAGGAGAGGCGGAGGGUGGUCUGGCCAGUGGUCCAGGCGGUCAGUGCUGACGGCAGAGAGGAAUCGAGAUGGAGAAACACGAUGCAGUCUGAUGCGUUCUCCUUGGGAGGGUCUCUCUGGGGGCAGCUCAAGUGAGAACUGACGGAAACAGGAAACGCUGCAGCCUGGGCCACCGGUCUCCUGCCUCUGUGUCUCAGCCCUGAGCGGGCGUCUGCAGCUGGACUGGGAUGCUUGCUGGCUGGUGCCAGGCCACAGAGCUGCCCCUGGCUGCUGGGUCUGGGGACCACAGCCCGCUGGUGGCGGCCGGCUGUUAGGUGUCCACACAGCAGGCGAAUUCAGCCCAGGGGAAGAAAUACCUGGUCCCCAGCAUGGCGGCGGGAUGCUACAGCGUCAUGGAAGCUUUAGCGGCGUUCUCUUAUAGCAUUAUCACCUAAGGACAAAUAGAUGCUGGCUGUGAAGUGGUAUGGGGUCUGCUUUUCUAGAACCUCUGUGGAGAGGAGGGAGGAGUCUACACAUUAAUAGCAAAUAUUACACAUAAAUGCUACACAGAUGUAUUCCACCCUAUAUAUUAGUGAAGCUCAAAGCAUCCAGCAGCAUUUUCAUUAAUAUAUUUUAUUAUUAAAUAGUGAUGACCUUUUAUUGUAUAUUCAUUAUUAAAUAUGUAUUUUUUUCUUGUUAAAAUAUAUCUGUAUGAACAGCUAGACUAAUACAAGGAACACUGUGUCCUCACCACCCAGCACUGCUAGCAUUUACUAUAUUUGCGUGGGUUAGCUUUUAAAGAAUUAACCUAUUAGAUUCUACAGAAGCCCAUCCUACUAAUUACUAGCCCUUCUGAAAUAGUUUAUUUUAUUUUAAAAAUUUUAUUGCAGUAGAGUUGAUUUACAAUGUUGUGUUAGUUUCAGGUGUACAGCACAUUGAAUCGGUUAUACAUAUAUCCACUCUUUUUUAGAUUCUUUUCCCAUAUAGGUUGAAAUAUUUUAAAUGGUCCUUUCUUUUUCUUUUCUUUUUUUUUUUUUUUUUUUUUUUUUGGUAAACCAGCAAAGUUAAAGGCCUGACAUUUCUGCCCAAGGGGUUUCUCUCUGAGGGUGAAAUACAGGAGCUGCAAGGCCUGUUGGGUGUGAAAUUCACAUGCAUGUGGAUUUCAAACAAAUGUCUUUUCUGUUUUAGCCCUAUUUUUGGUUUUGUGACAGAGAUGAUACAUUUGUUAACACAAGGACAGCUCUUCCCUGGUAGCACCUGCUGUUUGGGGCCGCUGGGACCUGGCCAUGACCUACAACCCACGGCUCUGUGGUCAGGUGGGAAAGGAAGGCCCUGACAGACCGCACCAGCCACUUGAAUGUAAAGGUUAUAUGACCUCAAUCCCAUGAAGGUUGUGGUUGUAUUUUCUGCAUUUCUGUGAAAAGGUAACUUUGUAGUAGUGGCCACUGGGCUCUUUCUGAUUGGAUGGGUGGAUAAAGUUAUCCAUUUCCAUGCAGGGGUUUUUGUCCUACUCUCUGUGUCAUUUUGUUACACAACUAGCUUGCCAGCCCCUGUUCCCACCGCCCUGUUCACAGGCAGACUGUGGCUUGUCAUGGGACAGGGAGGGACUUCCCUCUGCCAUCUGCAGCGAGGGAUGAAGUACAGGCGGGGCAAGGUGUUCUGAAGUGAGCAGGUGUGACCAUCAUGCCGAUGGCACAGGAAAAUAUCAAGAUGACCUUGGCGGGAAUCAGGAAACGUCUGCAAGCAGACGUGCUCGGUGGUCUCAGUGAAUUUGCUGCAGAGCUCAGUCUUCUCUGCCCCCCGUGCAGUGAAAGUACAUGAGUGGAAACCAUUGAAAGAACGCUUUGAGAACUUGUGUCCGACGUUGAGGAUACAGGGGUGCCCGGUGGAGGGAAGAUGGGGAGCCUGAAGACAGAAAAAUUCAAUGUUAAAGACUUCGACUUUAUACUUAUCCCAUCAAAGAACUCAGUUGGAGGCCCUUUCGAUGUAUAAACCUACAAAGGCUUUAUGGACACAUCGGUUCUAGGAGGGUUAAAGAGUAAAUCCCGCCCAGAGCCAGCCACCUGCCAGCCCGCUUCCUGGAAUGCUCUCACCCCAGAGAACCUUUCAGGCCUUGCCCUGAAAUUUUCUUUCACUUUCCUGUUUAAAUGUCACCUUAUCUGAGGGACUUUCGCUGAGCACCCUAGGUAAAACUUCCUUCUCAUCCCCUGUGCCCUGCUUGUUUUUAAUCAUAGCCCUCACUACCACCUGUCAUGUUGUAUUACUAAAGGUGAUUUAAUUGUCUGUCUCCUGUUUACCCCUUCCAGAAUGUCAGUUCCGUGGAGCCGGAACUUGUUGUGUUUUAUCUACUGCUAUAUUCCCAGCCCUCAAAUAGUGUCUGGCGUAGGU